AGUAAAAGUCGUAACAAGGUUUCCGUAGGUGAACCUGCGGAAGGAUCAUUAACGAUUGCUAUAAAUGCAAAGACAAAAACUCACUGCAUUGAACGAUCAAACUCCUGACGAGUUCAGGAAAAAUGGUGCCUCUCACGGCCAUCGUGGUCGUUGCGUUCUGCGCUGCGAACGAUGUAAAACAAACAACCGAUGGCCCCUCAUACAGUAUAAUAUCUCUCGCCAUGGUAUACAGGCCUGGCAUCUGGUACGAGUCUCUCGCAGUCUCAAAACCAACCUUACAACUCUGAGCGGUGGAUCACUUGGCUUGUGGAUGCUAUGAAGACCAUAGCUAAGUGUGAGAAUGGCAGCGAGCCGUCGCUAUAUACGCUGUCCCCUUCUUAUCACAUGUCGAAUGCACAUUGCGCCCCACCCAGUGGUCAGGCUAAACAACCUGCAGACAAAAGCCUGCUAGUUGGAACAAAUGUGACGACCAACUACUCGUGAGUAGUCAGGCUAGACCCUAUGGUGGGGCACUCCUAGUCGAGUGUGGUGGAUCGGACUCACAUCUCUUGUUGCGCGUUCGCGCGUGAUGGAGUUUGAGUUUCUUUGUUGCUGGUGGCAUUUGGGUCGACAUCAGUCGUGCCCGUAAACAACUGCCUUGGCUCGUGCCUCUGUCCGUAUACCUCCUGGAAGGAGCGUACAUUGAAGGCCAUAGCUGGCGAUCACUCUUGCGGCCAGGGCACUACUUCGGUAGUGCGCACAGGUCCAAAAGGAAUUGAUAAUACGAGAAUCAGGUCUCAAUACUCUGGCCGGCUUCUUUCUGCACACAAUCUGAGGAGUGGUGAUCACAUGGUUAUCGAGAGAACUGCAUUAACCGUCUUUCUGGCAAGGCCCCGUCCGAGCCCCACCACUUUUGUAUGCACACACAUAUCAGACAGUGCCUUCCCUGACGAGAUCAGGAAGGAUGGUCUGAAAGAGUGUGUGUGUGUCAMAAGUAACAGAUUGGCCGGCAGUCUCGCAUCACAUCCGUAUGAGGAGUGGUGAUCAUGUGGUUAUUGAGGAAACCACAUAACCGUUGCUCUGGUAAACGCUCUUCUUGUUUCUCGUAUUAUUCGAGUAUGACACGAGCUUUACCACUUUUGUUCGCGCACAUGUGUGACUGGCUUUGCUGGCACACAUGAGGACAAGGAACGACCGAACGCCUGACGAGAUCAGGAAAAGGUGCGUCAAAAGUAAACGAGCGGCCGGGUCUCACAUCACGUCGCGGGUUGUACUUCUGUUUGUGUGACGUGGUGAUCACAUGGUUAUCGAGAGAACUGCAUAACCGCUUUUCUGGCAAGGCCCCGUCCGAGCCCCACCACUUUUGUAUGCACACACAUAUCAGACAGUGCCUUCCCUGACGAGAUCAGGAAGGAUGGUCUGAAAGAGUGUGUGUGUGUCAAAAGUAACAGAUUGGCCGGCAGUCUCGCAUCACAUCCGUAUGAGGAGUGGUGAUCAUGUGGUUAUUGAGGAAACCACAUAACCGUUGCUCUGGUAAACGCUCUUCUUGUUUCUCGUAUUAUUCGAGUAUGACACGAGCUUUACCACUUUUGUUCGCGCACAUGUGUGACUGGCUUUGCUGGCACACAUGAGGACAAGGAACGACCGAACGCCUGACGAGAUCAGGAAAAGGUGCGUCAGAAGUAAACGAGCGGCCGGGUCUCACACCACUGAACACGUUCACGUUGUACUUCCCGUGUGGAAAGGAUACCGACAAAUGAGAGAGACCUGAUUUCUUGUGUGUUUGUAAUUGCCACCACCUCGACUUAGGAGAGGUUACCCGCUGAACUUAAGCAUAUCAGUAAGCGGAGGAAAAGAAACCAAUCAGGGAUUCCCUUAGUAGGGGCGACCGAACAGGGAUGAGCCCAGCGCAGAACCUCCCGGGCCACCCGGCCUGCGGCGGAAUGUUGCGUUAAGGGAAAGGUCGUAGUCAAACCCCACAGCCACGCGAGCUCUAAGUAAGUCACGAAUUGGCUAUCCCAACUAACGGCGGGAAAAUCUCCACGGAGGGUGUAAGACCCGUGUGGGCGCGUGUAAAUGCUGUGUGGGCUCGGCCUCUUUUCCCUGAGAGUCGCGUUGCUUGAGCAUGCAGCGCUAAGCAGGUCGUAAACUCGAUCUAAGGCUAAAUAUGUCCACAAGACCGAUAGCGAACAAGUACCGUGAGGGAAAGUGAAAAGCACUCUGAAGAGAG
rnacentral:rRNA from 1 species